rnacentral:rRNA from 1 species
AGUGAACGCUGGCGGUAGGCCUAACACAUGCAAGUCGAACGGCAGCACAGUAAGAGCUUGCUCUUACGGGUGGCGAGUGGCGGACGGGUGAGGAAUACAUCGGAAUCUACUUUUUCGUGGGGGAUAACGUAGGGAAACUUACGCUAAUACCGCAUACGACCUACGGGUGAAAGCAGUGGAUCUUCGGACCUUGCGCGAUUGAAUGAGCCGAUGUCGGAUUAGCUAGUUGGCGGGGUAAAGGCCCACCAAGGCGACGAUCCGUAGCUGGUCUGAGAGGAUGAUCAGCCACACUGGAACUGAGACACGGUCCAGACUCCUACGGUAGGCAGCAGUGGGGAAUAUUGGACAAUGGGCGCAAGCCUGAUCCAGCCAUACCGCGUGGGUGACGAAGGCCUUCGGGUUGUAAAGCCCUUUUGUUGGGAAAGAAAAGCAGCAGGUUAAUACCCCGCUGUUCUGACGGUACCCAAAGAAUAAGCACCGGCUAACUUCGUG